rnacentral:rRNA from 1 species
UACGAAGGGGGCUAGCGUUGUUCGGAAUUACUGGGCGUAAAGCGCACGUAGGCGGAUUGUUAAGUGAGGGGUGAAAUCCCAGGGCUCAACCCUGGAACUGCCUUUCAUACUGGCGAUCUUGAGUUCGAGAGAGGUGAGUGGAAUUCCGAGUGUAGAGGUGAAAUUCGUAGAUAUUGGGAAGAACACCAGUGGCGAAGGCGGCUCACUGGCCCGUUACUGACGCUCAGGCGCGAUAGCGUGGGGAUCAAACAGG